rnacentral:misc_RNA from 1 species
UCCGGCUUAUCACCGGCAGUCCCACUGGAGUGCCCAACUUAAUGAUGGCAACUAAUGGCAAGGGUUGCGCUCGUUGCGGGACUUAACCCAACAUCUCACGACACGAGCUGACGACAGCCAUGCAGCACCUGUCACUCGUCCAGCCGAACUGAAGGGAUCCAUCUCUGGAUCCCGCGACGAGGAUGUCAAACGCUGGUAAGGUUCUGCGCGUUGCUUCGAAUUAAACCACACGCUCCACCGCUUGUGCAGGCCCCCGUCAAUUUCUUUGAGUUUUAAUCUUGCGACCGUACUUCCCAGGCGGCGUAUUUAUCGCGUUAGCUACGCCACAAACGGGGUCGAUUCCGUUUACAGCAAAUACGCACCGUUUACAGCCAAGACUAC